ACGCUGGCGGCACGCCUAACACAUGCAAGUCGAACGCAGUAGCAAUACUGAGUGGCAAACGGGUGAGUAUAAUGUGGGAAUCUGCCUUUUGGUUUGGAAUAACACGGGGAAACUUGUGCUAAUACCGAAUAAGCCCUUACGGGGAAAGUUUUAACGCCGAAAGAUGAGCCCGCACUUGAUUAGCUAGUUGGUAAGGUAAUAGCUUACCAAGGCAACGAUCAAUAGCUGUUCUUAGAGGAAGACCAGCCACAUUGGGACUGAGACACGGCCCAGACUCCUACGGGAGGCAGCAGUGGGGAAUCUUGCACAAUGGGGGAAACCCUGAUGCAGCGAUGCCGCGUGAGUGAAGAAGGCCUUUGGGUUGUAAAACUCUUUCGUCGGGGAAGAAAAUGACUGUACCCGAAUAAGAAGGUCCGGCUAACUUCGUGCCAGCAGCCGCGGUAAUACGAAGGGACCUAGCGUAGUUCGGAAUUACUGGGCUUAAAGAGCUCGUAGGUGGUUAAAAAAGUUGAUGGUGAAAUCCCAAGGCUCAACCUUGGAACUGCCAUCAAAACUUUUUAGCUAGAGUGUGAUAGAGGUAAGUGGAAUUUCUAGUGUAGAGGUGAAAUUCGUAGAUAUUAGAAAGAACACCAAAUGCGAAGGCAACUUACUGGGUCACUACUGACACUGAGGAGCGAAAGCAUGGGUAGCGAAGAGGAUUAGAUACCCUCGUAGUCCAUGCCGUAAACGAUGAGUGCUAGACGUUGGGAAUAUAUUUUUCAGUGUCGCAGCGAAAGCAUUAAGCACUCCGCCUGGGGAGUACG
rnacentral:rRNA from 1 species